CAUUGUAAAUGUUCAUCUGUUCCUCUACUUUUCUACCUGCUCAUAUCACAAUACAAAACAAAAGAACGCCCCUCUUUAGUCGCUACCUGCUGCACAAUUUUAAACUCACGCAAGGCCAAAGACUGAAGAAAAUAGACGCCUAGAAAUUCAAACUCGAUUUGCGAGCGUUCAAAAUGAGCUGAAUUUGAUCCGAGAUUUGAUAUGUUUACAAUAAAAAUGUAUGAAAAAUGAGGCCAGA
rnacentral:sRNA from 1 species